CAAGUUACUUUACUGGUUGCUCA
rnacentral:siRNA from 1 species